GCCAGCAGUCAUAUCACCUUGCAACUCACAAUUUUCAACCCACUGAAGCUAAAAAGGUGUGAGCCUGGCCAGUACCUGGAUGGGAGACCUGGAAACUACUGUUGAUGCUGGAA
rnacentral:rRNA from 1 species